GCUUAUGGCCACACCGCCCUCUGCACGCCCGAUCUCGUCUGAUCUCGGAAGCUAAGCAGGGUCUGGCCUGGUUAGUACUUGGAUGAGAGACCUCCUGGGAAUACCAGGUGCUGUAAGCU
ensembl:rRNA 5S_rRNA 5S ribosomal RNA